CAGCUCGCCGCGCCGGGCCCGGGGCUGCCAGGGGUGGGCGGCGCAGCCACUGGCCACUUACCAAGAUGCGUUUGAAGAGGUUGCUCUCCUUUGGCGGCAGCUGCACGUUCGGCAUCGCGGCUGGAGAGGAGGCUGGGUGCCCGCGCGCUCCGUUUCGCGGGAUGGGCACCGGGACGAGCCGCGGCUAAGAGUCGUGCUGCGGGCGACGGCUUAUUGUUAGGCACAUGCAAGGACUACUCUUCUGGAGAAGAGUCGAGACGGAAGAGGCGGGAUCAAGCUCUAAGCCGGAAGGGGUGAACCUGGCAAUGAAAGUGAUCCGGUGUCUGUCGGGCUGAAACGUAGUGGACCACAGAAGGUUCAGACCUCCGAAACUUGGAAAACACGAAGAAGUAGGAAAAAAAAGGAAGCAAAAGGAAUCCAUCAUCCCACAACUAGAGAUCAUCUUACUAACGUUUUGAUGCCGAAAUGAAUCGUCACCUGUUUGUUUGGCUUUUUAGACAUCCGUGUCUUAAUGGUCACCACCAGUGCCAUGUCCAUCUCCAUUCUCAUCAACUUACACAGAUACCUCUUGACACAAGGCUGUGGGUUUUUAGACGAAACAGGAAUCCCAUUCUCCAUUGUCUGUUAAGUGAGAAUUGGUCCAGGAGAUAUUGUCAUCAAGAUACCAGGAUGCUCUGGAAGCAUAAAGGACUACAGAAAUACAUGGAGGACCUGAGUAAGGAGUACCAAACACUUGAUCAUUGUUUGCAGCAUAUCUCUGUGAGUGAAGGGGACCGGAGGUCCUUGAAUCAACGGCAUGCUGAGCUGGCUCCGCUUGCAGUCAUUUACAAAGAAAUUCAGGAGGCUGAACAAGCCAUUGAAGAAUUAGAAUCAAUGUGUAAAAGUCUCAAUAAAGAAGAUGAAAAGCAGUUACAAGAACUUGCUUUGGAAGAGAGGCAAACCAUUCUUCAGAAAAUCAACAUGUUAUACAGUGAGCUUCUCCAGAGUCUAGUGCCAAAGGAGAAAUAUGACAAAAAUGAUGUUAUUUUAGAGGUGACAUCUGGAAGAACUACUGGAGGUGAUAUCUGCCAACAAUUUACCCGGGAAAUAUUUGAUAUGUAUCAGAAUUAUUCAAGCUACAAACACUGGAAAUUUGAACUUGUGAAUUAUACACCAGCUGAUUAUGGUGGGCUACAUCAUGCAGCCGCCCGAAUUUCCGGUGACAAUGUCUAUAAGCAUUUGAAGUAUGAAGGUGGGAUUCACCGAGUUCAGCGAAUUCCUGAGGUGGGCCUGUCGUCAAGGAUGCAGCGUAUUCACACGGGAACGAUGUCGGUUAUUGUCCUCCCUCAACCAGAUGAGGUAGAUGUGAAAGUGGACCCCAAGGAUUUACGAAUAGAUACAUUUCGAGCCAAAGGAGCAGGAGGGCAGCAUGUUAAUACAACUGAUAGUGCUGUCAGACUUGUCCAUGUCCCCACAGGACUUGUAGUAGAAUGCCAACAAGAACGAUCACAGAUAAAAAAUAAAGAAAUAGCUUUGCGUGUGUUGAGAGCUAGACUCUACCAGCAGAUUAUUGAGAAAGACAAGUGUCAACAACAGAGUGUGAGAAAACUGCAGGUGGGAACAAGAGCCCAGUCAGAGAGAAUUCGGACAUAUAAUUUCACCCAGGAUAGAGUCACUGACCACAGGAUAGCAUAUGAAGUUCGUAAUAUUAAGGAAUUUUUAUGUGGGGAGAAGUGCCUGGAUCAGCUAAUUCAGAGAUUGCUUCAAUCAGCGGAUGAAGAAACCAUUAAUGAAUUUUUGGAUGAAAAUCUUAAAUCAGCAAAAUAAAUACUGAUUUAUAAUUUAUUAUUAUAUAAAUGAAAUGGACCUAUGUCAAGAAGCAGACCGAGGCCUCUCACUGUUGCGGCCUCUCCCGUUGCGGAGCACAGGCUCCGGACACGCAGGCUCAGCGGCCAUGGCUUACGGGCCCAGCCGCUCCGUGGCAUGUGGGAUCUUCCCAGACCGGGGCAUGAACCCGUGUCCCCUGCAUCGGCAGGUGGACUCUCAACCACUGCACCACCAGGGAAGCCCUAACCUGCUACUUUUAAAUAAAAAAGUAAAUAAAAGUUGUGAAGAAUAUGAGUUGCUAACUGUGAGCAUCUAUCUCUAGGAUAUAGAUGGUAGAGCUCUUGGAGAGCUGAGUGAACUCUGUAGUGUACAAACUACAAGUCAAUAUUUAAAGCAGACUCUCUGCUUGGCUUCUAUUUUCUAAUUGUUCUUUGACUUAACAAGCAUCAACAGAUGUGGUGUAAUAUGAGUAAUUCACUGAGGUCGUUUUUGUGCCGUGAUAUAUAAAACCUAGUCCUUACCUUACAGAACUUCCAGCUGAGCAGGGAGCCAAAAUAUAAGUCCCCAACUCUAAUUCAAAGUGGCAUGUUGUAUUUAGUAAUUUUUCUCGGGAAGUUUCUUGAGUGAAAAAGAGAGCGGUUGUUAUUUUAGAUAGUUCCUCAAGAGAGGAACUGUAUGCCAGGAAAGGCUAAUUAAAAUAGAGUUUUGUUGUUUUUUUGUUUUUUUGUUUUUUUCGGUAUGCAAGCCUCUCACUGUUGUGGCUUCUCCCGUUGCGGAGCACAGGCUUGGGACGCGCAGGCUCUGCGGCCAUGGCUCACGGGCCCAGCCGCUCUGCAGCACGUGGGAUCUUCCCGGACUGGGGCAUGAACCCACGUCCCCUGCAUCGGCAGGCGGACUCUCAACCACUGUGCCACCAGGGAAGCCCUAAAAUAGAGUUUUAAGACCAAUUGAAUGAUUUGGAGGUAAAGAUGAGAGAAAUUUUUUCCCAAAUUUUUAUUUUGAAAAUUUUCAAGCACACAGAAAAGUUUUAAAAAUAAUUUUUAAGAAACAGUUCAAUGAAUAUUUUAUCAUCUAGAUUCAACCAUUGUUAAUAUUUUGCCACAUUAGCUUUUUUUG